AUGAAUGUGAUGUUUUCAAGAAACGAUUUUCAAAAUCAAGGCCGGAUUUAAUUUCUCACUCGAGCGAUUUGAUAAUAGCACAUAAAAGGACACAUGGAGUGAAUCAUUAUGAAUGUGAUGUUUGUAAGAGGGGAUUUUCUCGGUCAAAUAAUUUGAUAAGACAUAAAAGAACACACACCAGAGAGAAACCUUAUGAAUGUGAUGUUUGUAAGAGGGGAUUUUCUCGGUCAGAUGAAUUGUUAAGACAUGAAAGAACACACACUGGACAGAAACCUUAUGAAUGUGAUCUUUGUAAGAGGAG